GGCCGGAUAAGGCGUUUACGCCGCAUCCGGCAACCGUGCCGACUAGACAGUGAUUACCAUUUC
rnacentral:misc_RNA from 1 species